UGGCUGCUGCUGCAGAUGAUGAUGAUUGUAAUAGUAGUAGUGAUACAAGACAUAUGAAGGCCGAUGAGGAGGAGGGUUUUGAUGAGAAU
rnacentral:rRNA from 13 species